rnacentral:rRNA from 1 species
UGGGGAAUAUUGGACAAUGGGCGCAAGCCUGAUCCAGCAAUGCCGCGUGUGUGAAGAAGGCCUUCGGGUUGUAAAGCACUUUUAUCAGGAGCGAAACGCUGUCGGCUAAUACCCGGCGGAACUGACGGUACCUGAGGAAUAAGCACCGGCUAACUUCGUGUCAGCAGCCGCGGUAAUACGAAGGGUGCAAGCGUUAAUCGGAAUUACUGGGCGUAAAGCGUGCGUAGGCGGUUUCUUAAGUCUGCUGUGAAAUCCCCGGGCUCAACCUGGGAAUGGCAGUGGAUACUGGGAGGCUAGAGUGUGUCAGAGGGUGGUGGAAUUCCCGGUGUAGCGGUGAAAUGCGUAGAGAUCGGGAGGAACAUCAGUGGCGAAGGCGGCCACCUGGGACAACACUGACGCUGAGGCACGAAAGCGUGGGGAGCAAACAGGAUUAGAUACCCUGGUAGUCCACGCCCUAAAAGCGAUGCGAACUGGAUGUUGGUCUCAACUCGGAGAUCAGUGUCGAAGCUAACGCGUUAAGUUCGCCGCCUGGGGAGUACGGUCGCAAGACUGAAACUCAAAGGAAUUGACGGGGUCAUAGCUGUUUCCUG